rnacentral:rRNA from 1 species
UACAGAGGGUGCAAGCGUUAAUCGGAAUUACUGGGCGUAAAGCGUGCGUAGACGGUUAUGUAAGUCAGGUGUGAAAGCCCCGGGCUCAACCUGGGAAUGGCAUUUGAGACUGCAUAGCUAGGGUGCGGAAGAGGGAAGCGGAAUUUCCGGUGUAGCGGUGAAAUGCGUAGAUAUCGGAAGGAACAUCAGUGGCGAAAGCGGCUUCCUGGUCCAGCACAGACGUUCAGGCACGAAAGCGUGGGGAGCAAACAGG